rnacentral:rRNA from 1 species
UACGGAGGGUGCAAACGUUGCUCGGAAUCAUUGGGCGUAAAGCGCACGUAGGCGGACCGCUAAGUCGGAUGUGAAAUCCCUCAGCUUAACUGAGGAAGUGCAUUCGAAACUGACGGUCUUGAGUAUGGAAGAGGGUUGCGGAAUUCCCGGUGUAGAGGUGAAAUUCGUAGAUAUCGGGAGGAACACCAGUGGCGAAGGCGGCGACCUGGGCCAAUACUGACGCUGAGGUGCGAAAGCGUGGGGAGCAAACAGG